rnacentral:tRNA from 1 species
GCGAAUGUCGCGAAGUGGUUAACGCACCGGAUUGUGGCUCCGGCAUUCGUGGGUUCGAUUGCGUGCGUUCGCU